GUCCGGGCCAGGCCCACUGCUGUUCCUUGGUCUAUAACCUGGGCUGCUGUCUGGUACUGGUAGUCUGAGUUAUUGAAAACAGAGACCACAGGCGACAGUUUUGCCGUAAGCCGCACUGGCAGUUACAGGCCUGAAAUGUGUGUUGAAGACAAAACCACAGCUGGAAUGGAUGGUGGCAAUACUUGUCUGCCAGGUCAGUGGUGCCUACAUUGGACGUCUGGUCUUUUUUCAGUUGGAGAGAACCAGUAAAAACAUU